GAGGCACUUGCUGCAACUCAAGUUUCUUCAACGUCCAUUUCAAAGAAACCUUUAGCGAAAGCACCUGUAUCAACAAUGGGUGCUGGAUCUUCAGAAAAUAAAAACACAGAAUCUCAUCAAAGUGGUCCUCCACCAGGACGCGUUGUUUCAACCCCUCCAAAUCCCAUGAGAUCUGCUAAAGGUAGACCUUCUUCACUAAUGGUUAACAAAAGGAAAAGGGAGAAUGAGAAGCCAAAAGCUGUUACUGAGGAGGAAGCAACAGCACGUAAGGCCAGGGAGGCUGCAAGGAAGAGAGUUGAAGAGAGAGAGAAAUCACUGCUUGGUCUGUAUAAGCAUUGAUUUGUGUAUCUUUGUCAAACAUUUUCUCGCUGAAAGGAGGUGAGUUUUCAGUAUGAUUUUGUCUAGUCUGAAUUCUAAACUAUCAGUCAGGAAGCUAUCAAGGAGCCAUAUUGAGUUUUUGUUGUAGGACUUCACUGUGAUGGGUUCUUCAAGUUGCCUUGUUAGGUCAUUUUAUGGCCUUAUACUUCAAUGAAUGAUGUUCUUU
rnacentral:misc_RNA from 1 species